CACAUUUCACGUUGAUGUUCUGUAUACAAUUUACUCCACGGGAUUUUGAACUAUGUGUGGACUUAAGAUUUGUUUAUGUGUUCUGAAUGUUGAGUUUGUGAUUUUGUGCUUAUUGUUCACAUCGUCUACAUAUUUGGGUACGUGCUUCAUCUUCGAUUUUUGGAUUGUUUUGAUAUAACAAAAAUUCAAAAUGAAAAUAAAAAUAAACG
rnacentral:lncRNA from 1 species